GUAGGUGGCAAGCGUUGUCCGGAAUUAUUGGGCGUAAAGCGCGCGCAGGCGGGUCCUUUAAGUCUGAUGUGAAAGCCCACGGGCUCAACCGUGGAGGGUCAUUGGAAACUGGGGGUCUUGAGUACAGAAGAGGAAAGCGGAAUUCCAAGUGUAGCGGUGAAAUGCGUAGAGAUUUGGAGGAACACCAGUGGCGAAGGCGGCUUUCUGGUCUGUAACUGACGCUGAGGCGCGAAAGCGUGGGGAGCAAACAGGAUUAGAUACCCUGGUAGUCCACGCCGUAAACGAUGAGUGCUAAGUGUUAGGGGGUUUCCGCCCCUUAGUGCUGCAGCUAACGCAUUAAGCACUCCGCCUGGGGAGUACGGCCGCAAAGGCUG
rnacentral:rRNA from 1 species